rnacentral:lncRNA from 1 species
AGAUAAAGAGUAUAAAUCUUGUUUUAAAUAGUUUAAAAAAUUUUCUAAUAAAAAUUCAAUUGAUUUGGAUAUCUUUACGCCGUUGAACGAGAAAACGCCUCUUAUCGACCAUUAAAAUUACAAAUUUUGAAACCCUUUGAUCAUUAGGCAAAUGAUGUCGAAAAGAUUUGAAAUUUGAUUUCUAAACACUUCAAAUGAUAUAGAUCAUGUUCAACGGAGCCGACCGUCAAUUUGGAAGUUCUAUCAUCGAAAACAAAUCGGUAGUAAAAUGACUCGUUUACUACCGAUAGUAUUCUAGCUCAACUUUUAUAUAUAUAUAUAUAUAUAUAUGGAAUGAAUGUUUCAAAUAGUACCGAUCAUUGUUGUUUGCCAUUUUUCGCCAAUAAUAUAUAUAUAUAUAUAUAAAAAUAUUAUAAACUGGAGUUUCUAUACUUUUAAAAAUACCUAAGUCGUUGGUGUUUGUAGGUUUUCGAUCUUUGGAUUAAAAAAUGUGUGGUUAAGAUAAUAAUAGUUCCUUAGAAUUGAAUGGUUGAAUAAUGUGAUCUAAUGGAUAAAAAUGAUUAAAAUGGUAGAUUUAACGUAAAAAAACUUACAAGUACCAUGACUGGACUCUUUAUGUAUAUUAUAUUACGCCACACUUUUCAAGAUUACUCAUUCUGGAACUAUUCUAAUUUUAGUACGUCUAACCUCUUAAUCCCGUACGUGUAGUCACCGACCAAAAUACUAUAGUUGAAUUAAGAGAAUUAACUAUAUUAUAACUAUAACUUAUUUAUAUCAUUAAUCCAAAUCCUAAGGUGUCACAUAUAAUAAAAAUUUUUACUUUUUUCUU